UGAGUACGAGAUGCUACGGCGUCGAAGCAGUCUAGGUCAUACUUCCAAGAAAAGCUUGCACUGUCAUAAACAAAGAAUGCCUGUACCAUAACCGACACAGGUGGGUAGGUAGAGUAUACUAAGGGGCGCGAGAUAACUCUCUCUAAGGAACUCGGCAAAAUGACUCCGUAACUUCGGGAGAAGGAGUGCCUUAUUUUUAAGGUUGCAAUAACAAGAUCCAAGCAACUGUUUACCAAAAACACAGGUCUCCGCUAAGUCGUAAGACGAUGUAUGGGGGCUGACGCCUGCCCAGUGCCAGAAGGUUAAAGAAGUUGGUUAGCAUUUGCGAAGCUGAUAACUGAAGCCCUGGUGAACGGCGGCCGUAACAAUAACGGUCCUAAGGUAGCGAAAUUCCUUGUCGGGUAAGUUCCGACCCGCACGAAAGGCGUAAUGAUUUGGAUACUGUCUCGGAGAGGGGCUCGGUGAAAUAGACUUGUCUGUGAAGAUGCGGACUACCUGCACCUGGACAGAAAGACCCUAUGAAGCUUUACUGUAACUUGAGAUUGAAAUUGGACUUUAUUUGCGCAGUAUAGGUGGGAGGCGUUGAGAAUAAUCUUGCGGGAUUAUCGGAGCCAUCAGUGAGAUACCACUCUUGUAAUGUUAGAUUUCUAACUUUGUAUCAUUAUCUGGUCAAAGAACAGUUUCAGGCGGGCAGUUUGACUGGGGCGGUCGCCUCCCAAAGGGUAACGGAGGCGCACAAAGGUUUCCUCUGAACGGGUAGAAAUCGUAUCUAGAGUGUAAAGGCAUAAGGAAGCUUGACUGUGAGACCUACAAGUCGAGCAGGGACGAAAGUCGGUCUUAGUGAUCUGACGGUGCUGAGUGGAAAGGCCGUCACUCAACGGAUAAAAGUUACUCUAAGGAUAACAGGCUGAUCUCCCCCAAGAGUUCACAUCGACGGGGAGGUUUGGCACCUCGAUGUCGGCUCAUCGCAUCCUGGGGCGGUAGUACGUCCCAAGGGUUGGGCUGUUCGCCCAUGAAAGCGGUACGCGAGCUGGGUUCAGAACGUCGUGAGACAGUUCGGUCCAUAUCCGGUGUAGGCGUUAGAAUAUUGAAAGGAGCCUUCUCUAGUACGAGAGGACCGAGAAGGACAUACCUCUGGUGUGCCAGUUAUCGUGCCAACGGUAAACGCUGGGUAGCUAUGUAUGGAGUGGAUAACCGCUGAAAGCAUCUAAGUGGGAAGCCCACCUUAAGAUAAGUAUUCUCA
rnacentral:rRNA from 1 species